GAAAAAGUGUGCAAGAACUGCUAAUUCUAUGCCCCCAUGUCUAGCAACAUGGCUUUUUCA
rnacentral:tRNA from 1 species